rnacentral:rRNA from 1 species
GACGAACGCUGGCGGCGUGCCUAAUACAUGCAAGUAGAACGCUGAAGGGAGGAGCUUGCUCUUCUUGGAUGAGUUGCGAACGGGUGAGUAACGCGUAGGUAACCUGCCUUGUAGCGGGGGAUAACUAUUGGAAACGAUAGCUAAUACCGCAUAACAAUGGAUGACCCAUGUCAUUUAUUUGAAAGGGGCAAAUGCUCCACUACAAGAUGGACCUGCGUUGUAUUAGCUAGUAGGUGAGGUAACGGCUCACCUAGGCGACGAUACAUAGCCGACCUGAGAGGGUGAUCGGCCACACUGGGACUGAGACACGGCCCAGACUCCUACGGGAGGCAGCAGUAGGGAAUCUUCGGCAAUGGGGGCAACCCUGACCGAGCAACGCCGCGUGAGUGAAGAAGGUUUUCGGAUCGUAAAGCUCUGUUGUAAGUCAAGAACGAGUGUGAGAGUGGAAAGUUCACACUGGACG